GUACUGUCCCUGUCCCGUCCGAAAGCAUGGCUAGCCCGUUCUCGAACAUACGCCUCUCCGCCCACCUAACCGACGGUGGCAACAACAACUUCCUUUCGCCAACGGAACCACCGAACGGUACGAUGCUGCCACCGCCACCGAUCGUGCGGCGAAACUCCGAACUGCCGCCGGGGAAACGGCAACAGUCCCCGCUGAAACUGUCCAUACCCGCACCGAGGGCGUCCUUUUCGAGCGGUUGUUCUUCCGGCUCGUCGGGCUCGUCGGAUGGAUCGGCGGGGUGCAGGCAGGCGGUCACAGCUCCCGUGCUCGGCGGGCAGUUGCCCGCGUUUGCGGCCGCCAGCAAUCCGCAUCUGAACGAGUUCCAUCACCAUCAUCAUCAUGGCGCUUUCCCGGAGUUUGAUACGCUCGAGUCACCGAUGCUGCAGCUGAGCCCGGACCACUCACCGAUCAUCAUGACGCAGCUACUGGAAGCGACUAGCCCCGGAACGGCCUCCAGCCAGGGAAGCAACGGAUCCUCCAUCUCUCGCCUGAUGCGCUUCAGUCCCGGGCUCCAUCAUCAUUCGGGCACCAUCUCACCCUUCCCAUCCGAGAUGUCCGAUAUAGCCGACACUGGUUCGCCCACACUCCCGAGCCGGCACAAUUUGUUCGCCAGCUCGAAUGGUGGGCCGCUGGCUGCGUCCACCACAUCCGGAACACUGGGCAACGCAACCUCUACCAGCUCGAUGACCACAUCACAGGAGUUACUCAACAGCAGGAGCAGCAGUAGCAGCAAAAGCUCCAAGCUGUCGUCGUCCACCUCCAGCACCACGACGAAGCAUGUGGAGAAGAGUUCCUCCUCCACGCAGCGUAUGUCGUCCCUAACGUCGUCCUCCUCCUCCAGCAGCACAACGUCGGCGGCCGCCGUCAAGCAGGGCCUGGGCGAGAUGCAAAACUCCAUCGCCGAGAUGAAGAACAUGAUGGGUCAUAGCACCAGCAGCAGCAGCACGUCCCAGAAUCUAUCAACCACGACGUCGACCUCGUCCAUUAAAUCUUCCGCCCUUUCGAACCAUCGCAAGAUGUCGUCCAAAAUCAACGAUAUCAAGUCAAGGCUCCGCUCCUCGAUGGACAGCCUCGACGAUCCUCAGGGAGCCGAUCCGCUGGUAACGUUUCCCGACUCCGAAACCGAUGACGAUCACCUCUCCGGCAUGGCCUCGUCACUGAAGCCGCUCGGUGCGAAUGGUGGGGGCAGCGGCGGCAUCCUCGUCCCGAACGGUACCAAUCACCACCACCAUCAGGCACUGAUGAACGGGUGCGCCGCCGCCGGCACGACCGUCGAUACGGUCAAGUUCGAGCAGAAGAAAAUGACGUCCGAGUCGAAGACGAAGGUAACGACGGACGGGUUCAGCAGCGAGCAGGCCACUAUCAACUCGGCCGAAUCGAAGAAGCUGCAGGCGGGCGACCUGCAGUACCAGGAGCAGGCCGCCCUCGCCGCCACGAGCAGCCGGAUGGAGGUGGACGGUGUAACUGCGGAGGAGAAGGGUGCAAUACUGAAGGAAGCCCGGUCGUUAAAAAUGGGAGACUUUCAGCAGGCAGAGGCAAACAACAUUGCAGCUCACAGUCGGAAAGUACACAGUGACCACUUUAGUGCGGAAAACAAAGCAAUCUCGCAGGCCCAGCAAAAGCAGACAGUGUCCGCGAGCGGCAUCUUCAACCAGGAAAAGCACGUCUCCUCCACGACCCAGUCCACCUUUACGAUGUCGAACACGAGCACGAUCAGCUCGUCCUCGCAGAUGAGCACACUGUCGUCCUCGUCGUCGGCCGCCCUCGGCGACGACUUCCCCUCGUUCGAGGACUUUGAGCGGUUGGGAAACACGCCCGAGGAGAUCGACAGCACGAUCAUGAAGUACUCGAAGCAUCUGGCCAACUAUGUGCAGAAUCUGCAGCAGACGGAGCAGCUGAAGAAGGCACCGACGCUGCUAAAUCACAUGAACGAGAUCAUUCGGCGGGCGUGGGCUGUCCCAACGCACGGUCACGAGCUCGGUGCCAGUCUGUGCGAUACGCUGCGCAAUACGGGCGGGUUGGACAUACUGAUGCGCAACUGUGUGGAUAACGAUUCGGAGGUGCAGUUCUCGUCCGCCCGGUUGCUGGAGCAGUGCCUGACGACCGAAAACCGAACGCACGUGGUGAAGAACGGGCUGGACAAGGUGGUGAAUGUGGCGUGCGUCUGUACGCGCAACAAUGCGACGGAUCAUUCGCGCGUCGGCACCGGCAUACUGGAGCAUCUGUUCAAGCACAGCGAGGACACGUGCUCGAACGUGAUCCGGCUCGGCGGGUUGGAUGCGGUGCUGUUCGAGUGUCGCAAGAACGAUGUGGAAACGCUGCGACACUGUGCCGGUGCGUUGGCCAACCUGUCGCUGUACGGUGGGUCGGAGAAUCAGGAAGCGAUGAUCAAUCGGAAGGUGCCGUCGUGGCUGUUCCCGCUCGCGUUCCACAACGACGAAAACAUCAAGUACUACGCCUGUCUGGCGAUCGUGGUGCUGGUCGCAAACAAGGAAAUUGAGGCGGAGGUGAUCAAAUCCGGCACGCUCAAUCUCGUGGAGCCGUUCGUGACGACGCACAACCCGUCGGAGUUUGCGAAAUCGAAUCUGGCGCACGCCCACGGGCAGAGCAAGCACUGGCUGCAGCGGCUGGUACCGGUGCUGAGCUCGAAGCGCGAGGAGGCGCGCAAUCUGGCCGCGUUCCAUUUCUGCAUGGAGGCGGGCAUCAAGAAGGAGCAGGGUAACACGAACAUCUUCAAGGAGAUUGGUGCGAUCGAGCCGCUGAUCCGGGUGGCCAGCUCGCCGAACGCGAUCGCCUCCAAGUUUGCGGCGCAAGCGUUGCGGCUGAUCGGGGAGGAGGUGCCGCACAAGCUGUCCCAGCAAGUGCCGCUCUGGUCGACGGAGGACGUGCGCGAGUGGGUGAAGCAGAUCGGGUUCGGCGAGUACGAGCAGAGCUUCUACGACUCGAAGGUGGACGGGGAUCUGCUGCUGCAGAUGCAGGACCACAACCUGUGCGACGACAUCGGGAUGAAGAACGGCAUUCUGAGGAUACGGUUUCUGCGCGAGCUGCAGAAUCUGAAGAAGAUGGCGGACUACAGUUCGCGCGACACGGACGGGCUGCACGCGUUCCUGAGCCGCAUCGGGCCGGAGUACACGAUCUACACGUACACGAUGCUGAAUGCGGGCGUGGACAUUGAGUCGCUGCGGACGCUGGACGAGGAUCAGCUGACGGCGACGUGCGGCAUUACCAAUGCGAUCCAUCGGUCGCGGAUUCUGCAGGUGAUUAAGCUGAACGAGUCGAUCCCAUCGUUCCGGUCGGAGCAGAGCGCGGAGAAGAAUCUGGACGUGUUUGUGAGCUACCGGCGCAGCAAUGGGUCGCAGCUGGCGAGCCUGCUGAAGGUGCACCUGGAGCUGCGCGGAUUUUCGGUGUUCAUCGACGUGGAGCGGCUGGAGGCGGGCAAGUUUGAUAACAAUCUGCUGCAGAGCAUUCGGCAUGCGCGCCACUUUCUGCUGGUGCUGACACCGGAUGCGCUGAACCGGUGCAUCGAUGAUGUCGAUUGCAAGGAUUGGGUACAUCGGGAAAUUGUCGCCGCACUCAACUCCGAAUGUAACAUCAUUCCCAUCAUCGACAACUUCCAGUGGCCCGAGCCGGAAAAGCUGCCGGAAGAUAUGCGCGGCGUCUGUCACUUUAACGGCAUACGCUGGAUCCACGACUAUCAGGACGCCUGUGUGGACAAAGUGGAAAGGUACCUUAGAAAUUCCAUUAACCAUAACAAACGCUCAAACUCUACGCAUAAAGCUAGCUAAAAAGCCUUCCCGCAGCAAGAGACAGAGAGAGUGUGUGCGUGUAUAGUGUGCGAAUGUGCGUGAUAAUGAUGAUAGGCGAGAAUGAAAAAUAUGUGCUUUGCGAGACUGAUCGAGACCCGAAACGCGGAACGCCAUAACCUGCGCCUGCCUGCCUGUCUUUUGGAGUGCUGCUGUUUGUUUUUGCUUGCUCGCACACGUGUAUGACUCAUGUGGAUGUGUACUGCCUGCCGACGCCUAAACGCCCAAAUUUGAUCUCAGCUAAUUAAGCAACUCAGCACAAACAGGAACGGGAAGAGGCUCUCUACAAUACCGGCCAGCUCUCAUCGGUGUGCUUUUUUUCUGCUCAACGGUGGCGGUGUGAUAGUUCAUGCGAGCGGAAAUGAAUGGUCGCGGAGGAUGCGGACUGCUGGACCAUGGCAGCCGGCUGCUCAGCCGCCAGCCGGGCGAUGCGACGCCCACGUCCGCCAUCUACC